rnacentral:rRNA from 1 species
GAUGAACGCUGGCGGCAUGCCUAAUACAUGCAAGUCGAACGAAGUGAAGAUAGCUUGCUAUCAGAACUUAGUGGCGAACGGGUGAGUAACACGUAGAUAACCUGCCUGUAUGACCGGGAUAACAGUUGGAAACGACUGCUAAUACCGCAUAAGCCCACAGCACCGCAUGGUGCAGCGGGAAAAGGAGCAAUUCGCUUCAGGAUGGCCUCGCGUCCAAUUAGGUAGAUGGUGAGGUAACGGCCCACCAUGCCGACGAUUGGUAGCCGGACUGAGAGGUUGAACGGCCACAUUGGGACUGAGACACGGCCCAG